AUCUUCCCUUUAUGGAGCUUCCCAGGCUAGGGGUCCAAUCAGAGCUGUAGCCACUGGCCUACGCCGUAGCCACAGCAACGCAGGCUCCAAACCAUGUCUGCAGCCUACACCACAGCUCGCGGCAAUGCAAGAUCCUUAACCUACUGAGCGAGGCCAGGGAUCGAACCCACAACCUCAUGGUUCCUAGUUGGAUUUGUUUCCACUGUGCCACGACGGGAACUCCUAUAAUUAUUAUUAUUUUUUAGGGCCAUACCUGCGGCAUAUGGAGGUUUCUAGGCUACGGGCCCAAUUGGAGCCACAGCUGCCACACCACAGCCACAGCAACACAGGAUCUGAGCCGCAUCUGCGAACCAGGUCCCAGCUUGGGGCAACACCAGGUCCUCAACCCACCAAUCGAGGCCAAGAAUUGAACCUGCAUCCUCAUGGACACUGUGUGUUGGGUUCUUAGGCUGCUGAGCCACAACGGGAACUCCAAGAAUAGACAUUAUUUGCUUCUACAAAACUCUUUCUUAGAAGUGGACAUGUUCAUUAUGGGAGCGUCUAAAGUUACCCAGCGUCGAGAAAGGGGAAGGAUCUGGCUCAGCUCCACGAGGUCCUUGGACUUGGGGUAAGCAGAACUACCUGGGGCGUCCCUUUGUCUGCAGGACCCACUGCCUUUAACUAGGCCGCUGCUUCAACGAGGCUCCUGCUCUCCCUCCAAACACAGCUGAGAGGGGACUGAUGGGGCCCCCUGGCCCCAAGCACUGCAGCCGAGCUCAGAGAGAGGAGUUGCCCUAAUCUCAUUAUUCGUCUUCUCGGACAGGCUGCCGCUUAUAUUAAGACACAAAGGGGGCUGAGACGUGACUUUCCAUUUGACGUCUUCCCAGGCUGAGUUGCCGGGAUGGGUCAUAGUGCACUCCUAUUUGGCCAUUGACCAAUUUAAUCUAUUCACUCUCGGUGAUCGUCCGUCGUGCUCCUUCACCUUCGUGGAGCAUUCUAGAAGGCUCUUCCCCCCCACCCCCCUCAUGAAGCCCACAGCCCCUUCACCUCCCACCCAGCCCCUGUACCAUUCCCGGACCUGCAUCUCCAGGGGUCCGUGGACGCCAGUCCCUGUGGACGUCCGCGGGGCCUGAGGCAAGUCCAGGUUCAACAGCUGCAAGUACUGUCAAUAACGCACCGCGGUCAUAAUUAUUUCUGAUGAGUAUUUUUCCACCUAAUAACGACUCGGAGGGGUGGCUGGCCUUGGUCGAGGGGAGGGACACCUUCCAGAUGACCUGCCAGCAAUUAAGGCGGCUUGUUAGUCGGAGGCCCGGGACGGCCGAGGACAGCUGGAGAGUUCUACUUUGCAGGCAGCUCUGGUUCACAUCAACCGGGAAAGCUCUCUGUAAACACAUGAAUAAUUGAUCGUCCCGCGCGCACAUAGCUACCGAGGAUCUGAGCCCGUAUGACUCAUUUGCGAGCCAUCCCUGUCGUCUGGAUGCCAUAACACUGGAGGAAUGAUGAUCGUUUCUUGGAGAUUCUUCUGUGGCCAGAGUUGCCAAGACCAAGGCUGUAAUGGUUUGUUAUGAUGACCUUUGUUAUUCCAUUAGGCUCAAUGGCUUUAAAAAAUGAUGUGCGCAUACUUUCGGAACGUUUUUACCCUUCACGUUGACCUGACAUCAUAGUUUAUGUUACAAAAUGUAUUAAUGACAGAGGAGUGUUUUCAUGUCCCAGGGACAAAUUUUAACAACCAUAAUCUGCCCUUAGUCAUCAUAAAUAUAAAUGUAUUGGUCAAACAGAUCUCGUUAAUGUGGCCAAGAUAAAUGCAAGCCUAUAUUUUAAGGCAGUUGAAGUCCUCGAGAAUAGAUUUGGAGCUUUUUGUGAGGCUAGGAGAGCUUGUAUAUGUGCUAUCAGAAGGCUGAGAAAAUGAACAUGUUUCCCCCUCUGGUUCUGCUUUGGACCCGAUAUAAACGUCUCGGGGACGUCAAGUAAGAUUCUUCACAUCGUUUCUGGACACCGUUAAUGCCUGGUGGGGUGAACCUUAGUUCUUAAAGCUGUAUGCUUCUCCUUAUGCUCUCGGGGCUUUUGAAAAGAAAGCAGAUGCAGAUUUCAAGUUUCUUUCUUUUUUUGCAUGCUUGAAAUCUUUAUGGAUUUAUUUUCUUUAAAAACAAUUUUUAGUAUAAUUGAUUCGCAAGGUCGUGUCAAUUUCUGCUGUACAGCAAAGGGACCCAGUUAUGCAUUUGUAUACAUUCUUUUUAUCACAUGACAGAUUUCAGGUUGCACCCGUGGGUUGCUCAGCUGCGUUUCCCAGUAUCCCCGUGCUUUCCAGUUUUCGGGGUAUCAAUCCCGCCUGCCCCAUGUUCUGUGUGGGACGAGUCCCUUCUCCACGCCGGGUGUCUGAUGUUUUGCAGCGUUCCAGUUGGCAUGUGUGCUGGCUGCUGACGAUCUGGGCACGGGCUGCAGGCCUGGUCCAAUACUCAGUCUUGCUCUUGGUUGCAGUGUGCUCAGCAGUGUUGGCCCUGAGGCGGGGUAGCCACAUUUCCAGCUUCUCUGGCAGAAAAGAAAUGCUUGUUGUAAGAAACCCUUUGGAAUCAUGUUUUUAUCUUGAACCAUGAAAAUGUGUUUGAGGCAGGCAUGCUACUCUCUGAGAGAGCAGACUGUUUACAGGGGUGAGUUGACCCCACCCCCUCACCAGGGGACACGGUGCCAUCAUUAACCUCCGUGUGGAUUACAGUCAGCUGGCACUGAUGGAUGAGCACUUCACGUGAAGCCAUUUAUCCUUCUGCCUUAGAGGAAUCUUCUAAGAGGAACCCUUUCUUCUCAAUCUGCUAUGGCUCUUGGUAGCACCACAUAUGGGGCUCUAGACAUGUGAUUUUUGCCCGAAACGCCUCUGGGACUGGGGAUGAAUUAUUUUCUAAAUUUGUUGGUGUGAGGACAGUGCCGUGAUCGUCUCCUGUGUGGCUUAAAGUUUUUGAUCUGUUUGGAAAGUGAGACACAUCACCCAUGUUCUUCGCAGCACGAGUCCCAAGAGCCAAAAGGUGAAAACUGCAGUUGUCCACGGACAGACAAGUGGAUAAACAAAUGCCCUGUAUCCAGAGUUCCCGCUGUGGCUCAGCACUGAUGAACCUGACGAGUAUCCAUGAGGAUGCGGGAUCGGUCCCUGGCCCUGUUGAGUGGAUUAAGGAUCUGGCAUUGUCAUGAGCUGUGGUGUAGGUUGCAGACACGGCUUGGAUGUGGUGUGGCCAUGGCUGUGGCUGUGGCUGGCAACUGCAGCUCUGAUUCGAACCCUAGCUGGGGAACUUCCAUAGGUGUGGGUGUGGCCCUAAACAAACCAACAAACAAAUAAUAAAUGUUCUAUAUUGAUACAACGGAAUGUCACUCAGCCUUAAGAAGGAAAAAAAUUCUAACACACGCUACAACAUGGACGAACCUUAAAGAUAUUAUGGUAAAUGAAAUCAGCCAGUCACAAAAGGACAAAUACUCUAUGAUUCCAUCCAUACGAGGUACUAGUGUAGUCAGAUUCAUAGAAACAGAAAGAAGAAUUGGGGUUGCCUGGGGCUGGGGGAGAGGGGAUGUUUUUUUUCUUUUGUUUUUUUAGGGCCACACCCACGGGAUAUGGAGAUCCCCAGGCUAGGUGUCUAAUCGGAGCUGUAGCUGUCGGCCUACACCAUAGCCACAGCAAUGCCAGAUCUGAGCCGGGUCUGCGACCUACACCACUGCUCAUGGCAAUGCCGGAUCCUUAACCCACUGAGUGAGGCCGGGGAUUGAACCCAAAACCCCAUGGUUCCUAGUCGGAUUUGUUAACCACUGAACCACGACGGGAACUCCAGGUUAGUUGGGUUUUUUAAGACCGUACCCACAGCCUAUGGAAAUUCCCAGGCCAGGGGGCCAGUUGGAGCCACAGAUGCUGGCCGACACCACAACCACAGCAACGCCAGAUCCGAGUUGCGUCUGCAACCUGCACCACAGCUCACGGCAAUGCUGGAUCCUUAACCCACUGAGCCAGGCCAGGGAUUGAACCCGCAUCCUCAUGAAUACUAGUUGGGUUUGUUACUGCUGAGCCGCAAUAGGAGCUCCCUCACACCGCUUUCAUGGUAAGUAAAGGAAUACUGGAGUGACAAAUACUGGCUUUCUUUGUCAAGUGGAACUCACCAAAAUCCAUUGGUUAAGCAUGGAGGUGCCCACUUUGGGUGACCAGUUCACUCUGAUCCAAACACACAUCCCCAGCCCUCAGAGGACCACAGCACCCAUUUCUGGACGCAUCAGAGGACCUCCUGUGCCCUGAAAGGAAGUGGAGCUCGGAAGGCGCAACCUGGAUGGACCUCUGAGCAGCUGAGCUAAUUCUCACAUGGUAACGACUCCUGAAUUAAUUAGACAGGAAGGGGCAAUGCUUGGAGCUGAACAAUGGUCUCCAAAUUGUGUAAUACAUGUCUGUGUUACAGGAUUGGGGGAAAUAAUGAGAAAGGAUGUUUUUAAAAGAACUUUUGCCUCUUUUUAAUGUUAGUUCCCACUCCUGGACAUGUAUCCAGACAAAACUUUCUGUGAAAAAGUUACAUGCACCUGUGUGUGCACUGCAGCACUAUUCACGAUAGCCAAGACAUGGAAAUAACCUAAAUGUCCAUGACAGAUGAAUGGAUGAAGAAGAUGUGGUAUAUACAUAAUGGAAUAUUACUCAGCCAUAAAAAAGAUAAAAUAAUGCCAUUUGCAGCAACAUGGAUGGAACUAGAGACUCUCAUACUAAGUGAAGUAAGUCAGAAAGAGGAAAAAACAAAUACCCUAUGAUAUCACUUAUUUGUGAAAUCUAAUAUAUGGUACAAAUGAACCUUUCUACAGAAAAGAAACAAACUCAUGGACUUGAAGAACAGACUUGUGGUUGCCAAGGGGGAGUGGGAAGGAGUGGGAUGGAUGGGGAGUUUGGGGUUAGUAGAUGCAUAUGACAGCAUCUGGAGUGGAUAAGCAAUGAGAUCCUGCUGUGCAGCACAGGGAACUAUACCGAGUCACUUGUGAUGGAGCAUGAUGGAGGAUACUGUGAGAAAAAGAAUGUAUGGGUUUGCUGGGUUACUUGAUUGUACAGCAAAAAUUGACAGAACGUUGCAAAUCAACUAUUAAAAAAACCUUCAAAAAACUCCAAAAGGUCAUUUGGGGAGUUCCCGUUGUGGCUCAACGGGUUAAGGACCCAACGUUGUCUCUGUGAGGAUGCAGGGUCAAUCCUUGGCCUUGCUCACUGGGUUAAGAAUCUAGCAUUGCUAUAAGUUGCAUUGUAGGUCACAGAUAUGCUGGGAUCCAGUGUUGCUGUGGCUGUGGCGUAGGUCGUAGCUGCAGCUCUCAUUCAAACCCUAGCCUGGGAACUUUCGUAUGCCACAGGUUCGGCCAUAGGA
rnacentral:lncRNA from 1 species